ensembl:lncRNA
CUUAAAGUUAUGGAGAGGAAGGGCCUCGGGGGCAUACUCCCUAGGUCCUGAUUUCAGAUCCCUGCUGUUUCCUGGAGGACGGGCCACGGCACCUUCUUGUGUCACGUCAUGUCUUACAGCUCCGGCUUCCUUACCUGGAAAGCAGAGCUCCAAAUAAUUCCCUGAUCAGAUGGCAUGUGAGCUGUGGUUAUCAUGGAUCCAACAUCAUGAAUGAGCUUCAAAAGCCCUAAACCUGCUCAGAACUGCUACUGCUUUAAACAUCUCUGGACCUUUCUGUUUGUUCGAAGAGAUCUAAAUCAGAAACUAUUUUUUAAAAUUUUGGACAGAAACUAGGAAAUGGACCCC